CAUUCACUUUGCAGUCUCCGACGUGCAUUCUUGCAGAUUAUUUCUCCUCUGUUUUCGCUGCAGAACAUUGCUAGAGUUUGGGGUGUUUCUCUUUCAUUUGGAGUCACUUUCUCCCCUUUUUCUGGUCUGUCUUGCAAUGUAGGAGUAUGGUGUAAGUUUAGGGGAUUGAGGAGUGACCAUAACUCAAGGAUGUGCUAAUUGGAAUGAGUUAUAUUUUGGGAGCAUAACAGACAGUACCACUGACCCUGUACUCCCAGCUGAGCAGUAAAGAGCCUCAUUGAAGAUCCAGAACUUGAGACUUUAUUUUGAGUAACUGUUAGCUAAUGUAAACUCAAAAGUACAUUUAUGUCUUUACUUUUAGAAUUUGAUGCUCCACGUAAUCUAUGUCUAGGUCCUCAUCUUUUGGGUUAUUUUGGAUUGUAGUUAUAUAUAUACUGGUGCUGGGGAACUGAGCCCCAAGUAUUGUUUGAAUUGGCAGUCUAUUGUAGAAUUUUCAGGAAGUCUAGAUUACAGUGGAGGCUCUGUUGAAAAUUUCUACAAAUAGUUUUAUAUUUUGUAUCACAACCUGAUUAAGUAUAUGAAUGUUUUGUUUAA